rnacentral:tRNA from 1 species
GAAGGUAUAGCUCAGUGGUAGAGCACAUGCCUAGCAUGCACAAGGUCCUGGGUUCAAUCCCCAGUAACUCCA